CCUGGGGUUUAAACCCCAGGCUUUAUCAUUUUGCCCUUUAAGGGCA
rnacentral:sRNA from 1 species